GUUCGCCAUUUAAAGUGGUACGCGAGCUGGGUUUAGAACGUCGUGAGACAGUUCGGUCCCUAUCUGCCGUGGGCGCUGGAGAACUGAGGGGGGCUGCUCCUAGUACGAGAGGACCGGAGUGGACGCAUCACUGGUGUUCGGGUUGUCAUGCCAAUGGCACUGCCCGGUAGCUAAAUGCGGAAGAGAUAAGUGCUGAAAGCAUCUAAGCACGAAACUUGCCCCGAGAUGAGUUCUCCCUGAGACUUUAGGUCUCCUGAAGGAACGUUGAAGACGACGACGUUGAUAGGCCGGGUGUGUAAGCGCAGCGAUGCGUUGAGCUAACCGGUACUAAUGAACCGUGAGGCUUAACCUUAC
rnacentral:rRNA from 1 species